rnacentral:rRNA from 1 species
AUACGGAGGAUCCGAGCGUUAUCCGGAUUUAUUGGGUUUAAAGGGUGCGUAGGCGGCCUUUUAAGUCAGCGGUGAAAGUCUGUGGCUCAACCAUAGAAUUGCCGUUGAAACUGGGAGGCUUGAGUAUGUUUGAGGCAGGCGGAAUGCGUGGUGGAGGGGGGAAAUGCUUAGAUAUCACGCAGAAACCCGAUUGCGAAGGCAGCCUGCCAAGCCAUGACUGACGCUGAUGCACGAAAGCGUGGGGAUCAAACAGGAUUAGAUACCCUGGUAGUCCACGCAGUAAACGAUGAUCACUAGCUGUUUGCGAUACACUGUAAGCGGCACAGCGAAAGCGUUAAGUGAUCCACCUGGGGAGUACGCCGGCAACGGUGAAACUCAAAGGAAUUGACGGGG